UUAAAAUACUUUGACAUAAUUGACAACAAAGUGUGGUCAAUGAUUAUUAAAUUCAGAAGAGUUUUUAAACUCGACGUCGAAUAAUCUCACAAAAAAGGAAACAAAUAUUUCGGCGACUUUUGUUAGCAGGUAUACUCGAAUGACCAUUAGGAAAAAAGCGAAUGAUCAAUAUCAAGGUAACCAAUUUUACAUUUAUUGUACCUAAUAUAUCUGCACUGUGUGGUGUGAUCUAAUUUUGUUGAAAAAAAUUGACAAAAAAAAGUAGGCACGUAAAACAUCUCAAUUAUUAUCAAUUUCUAAUAAAACAACGUUUUUCUAUUGCAACGAAAGUCCUUUCAAAGUCCGAACCAAUGACAAGGUUUAUAAAAAAAUAAAUCAGCGCUUUUAUGAAAAGAUGUUCUCAAUGAACAUAAUAAAAGAGGAACGAAAGAUACAAGAGGGACAGUCAAACUCAUAAAUCGAAAAUAAACUGACAACACCAUGGCUAAAAAUAAAAAGUUCAAACAGACAAACAAUAGUACACAUGAUACAACAUAGAAAACUAAAGAAUAAACAACACGAACCGCAUUUAUAAUUAUACCUUCACAUUUCACACAAUUAGUUGUUAACCCAUUCGAACAAAAAGAACUGCAUUCUUAGCUGUUUAUUAUUUUGAACAAAAGCCUUAUGAAAAAAUUAUAAAGUAUGCACUGUUUUCUAUUAUACAUUGAUAACUUACUUCAUCAAUUUACAAUUAUUGACUUAGUUUUAUUAUUAAUUUCAGAAAAAAUGAUCAUCUUGUGGAAUAAUCUCACAAAAGUAGAAGCAAAAAUUUCGGCGACUUUUUUAACAGGUAUAUUCAAAUGACCGUUAGAAAAAAGCGGAACAUCAAUAUUAUGGUAAUCAACUUUACGUUUAUUCUACCUAACAUAACGACACUGUGUGUUGUGAUUUAAUUUUGUUGAAAAAAUUGACAAAAAAAAUUAGCACGUAAAACAUCUGAUAAAUAAGCAAUAUCGAAUAAAACAACGUUUCUCUAUUGCAAGAAAAGUGUUUCACAAGUUGAAACUAGGGACAAAGUGUGAAGAAAUACAAAACAGCGCUUUUAUGAAAAGACGUUUUCAAAGAAUAUCACAAUUAUACAAUCACAUUUCACACAAUAAGUUGUUAACCCAUUUGAACAACUAUAACUGCAUUCUUAGUUGUUGAUAAUUUUUGUAAAAAAAAAAUGGCCGAAAAAGGUAUAAAGUGCGCACUGUUUUUUUUUUACCUUAUACAUUAAUUACCUACUUCAUCUAUAAAUAAUUAUUGUAUACUUUUUAUUUUCAUUAUCAGAAGAAUUUUCAAACUCGUGGAAUAAUAUCUGAAAAGAGGAAGCAAAAAUUUCGACGACUUCUUUUUAGCAGGAAUAUUCGAAUGACCGUUAGAAAAAAAGAGAAACAUCAAUAUCAAGAUAAUCAAUUGUACAAUAACUCUAACUAAUAUAACGGCACUGUGUGGUGUGGUAUAAUUUGGUGAAAAUAUUGACUGACAAAAGUGGGCACGUAACACAUCUCAUCAAUAAGCAAUUUCCAAUAAAUCAACAUUUUUAUUUUGCAAGGAAAGUCCUUACUAAGUCAACCAAAGUGACAAAGUUUGCAGAAAAAUAAAUCAGGGCUUUUCUGAAAAGCUGUUUUCAUUGAAGAUACAUGUAGCAAUUAUACAGUAUUCUGCCAUAAGUAUUCGUAAAAACAACAAUUGCGGUCACGUCAUGGAAGGUUAAACAAGUUUUGGCCGUCGUCUCCAUGUCACAAUCUGGAUGACCGUGAAUCUAAAUUUAAAUAUAAAUUGAUCUGUAGAAAAACAUGUGGUUGUCAUGUGACACGUGCAUGAUGGCAUCAACCUUGUCUUGUAAAUAAAAUGGGUCGAAGGGGAAAAGAACUGACAUCUUAUCAGAAAAGGGAUUUCGCUGCAUUAAAUGAUGCAGGUUACCGAAAAAGUGAAAUAGUCAGACUGACCGGCAUUACACAAAGACCCGUUGACAUUUUUUGAAGAGGUAUGAACAUCGCGGUGAUAUAGAAAACAUACGGAGAUGCAGCAGACCUAAAUCCUUUCAUGACCGGUAUAUGAGAAAAUUUUCCCGUCCCGUAAAAAAAUAUCGCCAUGAAGGUUUAGCUGAAAUUACAAAUAAUUUUAAUGAGAACAUUGAUAGACCUUUCUCUAAAAGAACUGUUGAAUGUAAAAUACAUUUUGAUUGAUUCUGCACGCGGUCAGUUUAAAAAAAAAUAUCGUAUAUGUGAGAUCAAUUAGAAAAAACGAGUGGCAUACUGCAUAGGAAAUCUACAUAAAAGAGGAAAUGUACACUGGAGUAAAUGGAUAUUCAACGAUAAGUGAAAGGUAGUCAUACGGCAAAAUUCUUCAGCCAAUGUCUAGAGAAGGUCGGAGAAGAGUGGUUGAUGGAUUGUAUUUUCCUUCCGUCUCAGCGCAACUAUUGUUUGAUGAUCUGGGGAUGUAUUAAUUACAAUGACGUGGGAAUUAUUAACUGUUAUUGACGGGAACAUAAAUGCCUUAAAAUACUUUGACAUAAUUGACAACAAAGUGUGGUCAAUGAUUAUUAAAUUCAGAAGAGUUUUUAAACUCGACGUCGAAUAAUCUCACAAAAAAGGAAACAAAUAUUUCGGCGACUUUUGUUAGCAGGUAUACUCGAAUGACCAUUAGGAAAAAAGCGAAACAUCAAUAUCAAGGUAAUCAAUUUUACAUUUAUUGUACCUAAUAUAUCUGCACUGUGUGGUGUGAUCUAAUUUUGUUGAAAAUAUUGACAAAAAAAAGUAGGCACGUAAAACAUCUCUAAUUAUUAUCAAUUUCUAAUAAAACAACGUUUUUCUAUUGCAACGAAAGUCCUUUCAAAGUCCGAACCAAUGACAAGGUUUAUAAAAAAAUAAAUCAGCGCUUUUAUGAAAAGAUGUUUUCAAUGAACAUAAUAAAAGAGGAACGAAAGAUACAAGAGGGACAGUCAAACUCAUAAAUCGAAAAUAAACUGACAACACCAUGGCUAAAAAUAAAAAGUUCAAACAGACAAACAAUAGUACACAUGAUACAACAUAGAAAACUAAAGAAUAAACAACACGAACCGCAUUUAUAAUUAUACCUUCACAUUUCACACAAUUAGUUGUUAACCCAUUCGAACAAAAAGAACUGCAUUCUUAGCUGUUUAUUAUUUUGAACAAAAGCCUAAUGAAAAAAUUAUAAAGUAUGCACUGUUUUCUAUUAUACAUUGAUAACUUACUUCAUCAAUUUACAAUUAUUGACUUAGUUUUAUUAUUAAUUUCAGAAAAAAAUGAUCAUCUUGUCGAAUAAUCUCACAAAAGUAGAAGCAAAAAUUUCGGCGACUUUUUUAACAGGUAUAUUCAAAUGACCGUUAGAAAAAAGCGG
rnacentral:lncRNA from 1 species